rnacentral:rRNA from 1 species
CGCGCAGGCGGUCGUUCAAGUCGAGUGUGAAAGCCCCCGGCUCAACUGGGGAGGGUCACUCGAUACUGAUCGACUUGAAGGCGGGAGAGGGAAGCGGAAUUCCCGGUGUAGUGGUGAAAUGCGUAGAUAUCGGGAGGAACACCAGUGGCGAAGGCGGCUUUCUGGCCCGUUCUUGACGCUGAGGCGCGAAAGCUAGGGUAGCAAACG